rnacentral:lncRNA from 1 species
AACCAUCAUAAUAGAAAAGUUUCAAACAAAGUACAUGAUCCUACACUACUCAACAUAAGCAAACUUAUUCUAAGAAUUCAAAUUACAAAACAAAAAGAUAAAAGAUAAAGAAAAUGUCCUGUUUACUACAUUUGGCAUCCAUCAGUAGAUGCCAUAGAGGCCCCUCAUCCCAUGUUGUCAUCUGAGUCCUCCUCUCCAGCCUUAGCAUCCUCAAAAUCCUCAUCAUCAUCUUCCUCCACAUCCUCCUCU